CGUACACUCCUGCGGGAGGCAGCAGUGGGGAAUAUUGGACAAUGGGCGAAAGCCUGAUCCAGCAAUGCCGCGUGAGUGAUGAAGGCCUUAGGGUUGUAAAGCUCUUUUACCCGGGAUGAUAAUGACAGUACCGGGAGAAUAAGCCCCGGCUAACUCCGUGCCAGCAGCCGCGGUAAUACGGAGGGGGCUAGCGUUGUUCGGAAUUACUGGGCGUAAAGCGCGCGUAGGCGGCUUUGUAAGUUAGAGGUGAAAGCCCGGAGCUCAACUUCGGAAUUGCCUUUAAGACUGCAUCGCUAGAAUCGUGGAGAGGUGAGUGGAAUUCCGAGUGUAGAGGUGAAAUUCGUAGAUAUUCGGAAGAACACCAGUGGCGAAGGCGACUCACUGGACACGUAUUGACGCUGAGGUGCGAAAGCGUGGGGAGCAAACAGGAUUAGAAACCCUAGUAGUCCCA
rnacentral:rRNA from 1 species